rnacentral:rRNA from 1 species
UGCUCUUCCCGUUCACCCGCCUGGUUCAUGUCUGGAGCGCGCCGUUUGAGUAUAAAUACUCCUGACUGACCGAUAGUGAACCAGUACCGUGAGGGAAAGGCGAAAAGAACCCCGGCGAGGGGAGUGAAAAAG